AAAACCAUUAGGGCCACACUAGCUUUAGAUUAAACUAAGCAGAAUAAAUAAUCCCAGAGGGGGCUGUAGUUUUUACCCUUUUCUCUUUGUCUUUGCAACCCAAACUAAAUUCCCAGAGACUUACCAGAACUUUCUGGUGAGACACAGUUUAUUCUACUUACUGCAGAUCAGGGACAAUCUGGGAUUGGCAUACUUAAAAGUGCUUCCGGAGUACGUAGACAUGUUCAUUGGUUUUGAGUGGCCCUGAGUGAGCCUCUGCAGUGUCUGUCUGGUUUGGGUUUGGUGGGUGUACCCAAGGGCAAAUGGGGUGGGGAUCUUACAUACUCUGCAUCUUUGACUCUCUUUGAACACAUCAUUGGAAGUCAGUGGAUUCAUAUACUAAACAGUCUUUUAAGCAAAAUCUAACUGGUUUGGGGGAGUUAGGAAAGCUUUAGGGCUUCUCUUAUUAAAGUAAAGGAAAAGCUUUUACUGUGAACUUAACCUCAAAUGAAACUUCGGUGUCAAAUGUUCUGGAACUAUUACGUGUCAUUUUAUUAACCCAUACCCUUUCUGUCUAGAACGCUGUAAGAGUCUAGUUAAAUGAAGUCUGUGUGUCUGGUGAAUGCGUGUGAGUGGUUGAAGAAAAGAUGUUCAAUGCUUGGUUUAAUGUGCAAAUUACCAAUCCAUGGUGACCUCUGUCAGGGGUUCAUUAUUUCAUAUAAACUAAAAAGGAAAAAGGUGUCCCUGCAAGACACAGGGGGUGGAGUCAUGCAGCUGAAGCAUGGGGUCAUCUCUCAAGUGGAAUUUUAGAGAUUUGCCUUACAGUGUUCAUCAGACGGGGCGGCUGCAGGGAAAGAGGUCUGGAGGUAGAGCUAGGUGUCCAAGCAUCUUGGCCUGGUAAUGCUGCGUUCUGGCUGUGUGACCUUGGACAAGUUGCUUAACCUUCCUGAGGCUCAUGAGGACAGCAGCACCCAUCCUGCCCUGUGCAGACUUAUUUGGGGAAUCGAAGGAUGGGAAAGCACUCUGUAAAUUGCAAAUAGCUGAGUAAACAUCAGGCACUUGGGACAUUGCUCCAUCGUUAAGCAAGAGCAAUGCCAUUUGUAAACCGGGUUUUGAGUACAUCCUGAGCGUCGUUUGUGAGAGGAGUCCGGGCUUCUCUGCACGUACUCCUAAGGAGGUCGGGUACCACAGAUCUCUCCAUCUGCCGUUUUCUAGCUGAGAUGCUAAAUAGAGUCAUGGGUGUACCUGGGGUCUUUCUCGUUCCAGUGUAGCCUCCGAGGGGGGCUAGAUGUGUCUCCCUUCCUCCCUCUCAGAUGGAAUUGUAUUUAUAGCCUGGUAUAAAUACAAUCAGAAGGUUCCUAUAAAACUCUGUUAUUACUGCAGCACAAAGUUAGACAUGCUUGAGGUUUCGGCUUCUUGGCUCUUCCAUGUGGCAAUGAAUAUUUUAUGGGAAAGGAAAUACUUAGUGUCUGACUCUUUUUAUAGUGCAGCUACUCACAGGGCUGGUAACCUUCCAGAUCUCUCCAAAAUCAAAAGCGUUGCCUGUCCAUCUCUCUGCUCCUUUCUUCCCAAAAUCCAUCGCCGCUCUGCCUUGCUGAGGUUUCCGUGUUCUCCUGGUGAAUGGGUCGAUUCACGCGCUGUGUGGGGUGCGCUUUCCGAUCCUAAUGAACGCCCUAAACCAGAGGAGCCGGCCACUCACCAGCUCCGCCCCACCCCUGCUGGCGCUUUGCGGCUCUGGUCGGCCCUGGGGGAGGUGUGCUGGCGGGUUGCCCCCUGGGCUGUCAACUUGAAGGCCUCCAUCUGCAUUUCCUUCCAUGCUGCCGAGUGCCCCGUAGCCACCAGAGGAUGGGACCAGCCUCUCCAAAGUCUACCCUCAUCUUGGAAUUCAAAAAGGAAUCGGUGAGUUUGAAGUCCAGCAGAACCCAAGAGCUCUUCCCUUUCAAGGCCUGAGCUUGGGGCUGGAGGCCUUGCCAUGGGCAGCCGUCAGGCUGGUGAGAUUUCCCUCUCAGGCCCUCUUACUGCGGGCCCUUCAGUGACCCCACGUGUAAGGCUGGAAAAUGGGGCUUGGGUGGUCUUGGCCCUGGCUUGCUAGGCCCAGGCCUUUAAGUAGAAGAAAGGGGUCUCCUGGCAGGUCAGCGUCCAUGGAGGUUGCUCCUCUGGCAGCCUGAGGCCAUCCUGGCAGAGGUGAUCAGCUGGUUGACCUGAUGGUCCUCAGACACGUGUCAUGACUACAGCGGCAUUGCAGACCAGCUUUGUGGCCAGGUGACAGUGCCUCAGGUGGUCACAACAGCCUGGGUCUUUUGCCCGUGCCCAGGGCACCCCAGCGUGAAGAGCAUGGCGGGCUCAAGUGCAGCUUCUGAGACACAGGAGCAGAGCUGGCUGGGCAUCACCACUGGCUCAGGACAGUUUUUUCGUAGCAAGGGGGACACGGGUUGGAGCCCUGGUCCGGGAAGAUGCCACAUGCCGCGGAGCAACUAAACCCAUGUGCCACAACUACUGAGCCUGCGCUCUAGAGCCUGCGAGCCACAACUACUGAAGCCCGUGCACCUAUAGCCCGUGCUCCACAACAAGAGAAGCCACCGCAAUGAGAAGUCUACGCACCGCAACGAAGAGUAGCCCCCGCUCACCGCAACUAGAGAAAGCCCACACACAGCAAUGAAGACCUAACACAGCCAAAAAUAAACAAAUAAAAUAAAUAAAUUUUUAAAAAAA